AGUGGAUGGGGAGCAACCUAGUUGUGCGUGUGUAAAGGUAGUGCCAAGAAAAGCGAUGAUCAUGUUGAAAAUCAAUUCCCGGUACCCGAAACCGACACAGGUGGGCAAGUAGAGAAUACUAAGGGGCGCGAGGUAACUCUCUCCAAGGAACUCGGCAAAAUGACCCCGUAACUUAGGGAGAAGGGGUGCCACCGAGAGGUGGUCGCAGUGAAGAGGCCCAGGCGACUGUUUAGCAAAAACAUAGGUCUCUGCAAACUCGAAAGAGGAGGUAUAGGGGCUGACGCCUGCCCAGUGCCGGAAGGUUAAAGAAGUUGGUCAGUCUUAGGAUGAAGCUAGCGACUGAAGCCCCGGUGAACGGCGGCCGUAACUAUAACGGUCCUAAGGUAGCGAAAUUCCUUGUCGGGUAAGUUCCGACCCGCACGAAAGGCGUAACGAUCUGGGCGCUGUCUCGGAGAGAGGCUCGGCGAAAUAGGAUUGUCUGUGAAGAUACGGACUACCUGCAUUUGGACAGAAAGACCCUAUGAAGCUUUACUAUAGCUUGGAAUUGUGUUCGGGCUUCCUGUGCGCAGGAUAGGUGGGAGGCGUAGAAGGUAUUCUUGUGGGGAUACUGGAGCCAACGGUGAGAUACCACUCUCAGGAGGCUAGAAUUCUAACUUAAUUAAGGACAGUUUCAGGUGGGUAGUUUGACUGGGGCGGUCGCCUCAAAAAGGUAACGGAGGCGUACAAAGGUUCCCUCAGACUGGUUGGAAAUCAGUCGAAGAGUGCAAAGGCAGAAGGGAGCUUGACUGCGAGAAGUACAGUUCGAGCAGGGUGGAAACACGGUCUUAGUGAUCCGACGGUGCUGUGUGGAAGGGCCGUCGCUCAACGGAUAAAAGUUACUCUAGGAUAACAGGCUGAUCUCCCCCAAGAGUUCACAUCGACGGGGAGGUUUGGCACCUCGAUGUCGGCUCAUCGCAACCUGGGGCGGAAGUACGUCCCAAGGGUUGGGCUGUUCGCCCAUUAAAGCGGUACGUGAGCUGGGUUCAGAACGUCGUGAGACAGUUCGGUCCAUAUCCGAUGUAGGCGUGAGAAUAUUGAGAGGAGCCUUCCUUAGUACGAGAGGACCGGGAAGGACGCACCGCUGGUGUACCUGUUAUGAUGCCAAUUGUAAACGCAGGGUAGCCAAGUGCGGAGAGGAUAACCGCUGAAAGCAUCUAAGUGGGAAGCCCACCUCAAGAUGAGUAUUCUGGUGUAAGGUCACGGGAAGACGACCCGUAAAUAGGCACGAGGUGGAAGUGCAGAGAUGUAUGAAGCCGAAGUGUACUAAUAGACCGUCGGCUUGACC
rnacentral:rRNA from 1 species